rnacentral:rRNA from 1 species
AACGAACGCUGGCGGCAUGCCUAACACAUGCAAGUCGAACGAGACCUUCGGGUCUAGUGGUGCACGGGUGCGUAACGCGUGGGAACCUGCCCUUAGGUUCGGAAUAACUCCCCGAAAGGGGUGCUAAUACCGGAUAAUGUCUUCGGACCAAAGAUUUAUUGCCUUUGGAUGGGCCCGCGUUGGAUUAGCUAGUUGGUAGGGUAAAAGCCGACCAAGGCGACGAUCCAUAGCUGGUCUGUGAGGAUGAUCAGCCACACUGGGACUGAGACACGGCCCAGACUCCUACGGGAGGCAGCAGUGGGGAAUAUUGGACAAUGGGCGAAAGCCUGAUCCAGCACUGCCGCGUGAGUGAUGAAGGCCUUAGGGUUGUAAAGCUCUUUUACCCGGGAUGAUAAUGACAGUACCGGGAGAAUAAGCUCCGGCUAACUCCGUG